rnacentral:lncRNA from 1 species
UUUUACAAAAAAAUUUUCUAAGCUAACAGAAUUCUGAGAUGGAUUUUUUUAGAAAUACCUAGUUUUUGUAAAUCACAGUCGGAACUUUUAGCCGAGAACUUUAGCCGAGAGUAUAGAUAGCAUUGAAAGAGCAAUUUCAAUUUUUACUAGCGUGUGUGUGUAAAAAAAAAACAGCGAUGAAACAGAAUGAAGCAAUGGGAAUUGGAAGCAUUAACAGCUGCCAAUCUAGAAUAUUAUUACCGGAUGAUAAUGAACGGGCGGAACUAUUCCAAGGUUUCGUGAUCGACACUGAUGCAUAUGCAAACGUGAAUACAUAUCGAAGGAAGUGGAUGCGAAACGCGAGACGCGAUGAGAGCUGCUGGAAACCUAGCUUCAUAGCAGGCCACUCUAUCCUGUAAAACGAAACUUUAUUGAUACAGUAUGGCAUGUUUAUAAGUGCAAUUAAACGAAGAAUUGGCAUUAUGACGAAGAACAAUGAAGACGCAGAAAAAUAUUGACAAUUCUCCAUUGAUACCUGUUCUAGGAAUGUUCGUGCAAUUUGGCUUCUUAUAUAAAUGUUUGCGAAGAUACAAACACGAAGAAAGUGUGGAAAGAAUAGUACAGCUAAAGAGAAGAAUAAGAAGGAAGAAAAAGGAGGAAAGGAAGAGGGACAAAAAGGAAAAAGGAAAGAAAAUAGGU